rnacentral:misc_RNA from 1 species
GAUGAAGAACGUAGCGAAAUGCGAUAAGUAAUGUGAAUUGCAGAAUUCAGUGAAUCAUCGAGUCUUUGAACGCACAUUGCGCCCCCUGGUAUUCCGGGGGGCAUGCCUGUCCGAGCGUCAUUGCUGCCCUCAAGCACGGCUUGUGUGUUGGGCCCCGCCCCCCGGCUCCCGGGGCGGGCCCGAAAGGCAGCGGCGGCACCGCGUCCGGUCCUCGAGCGUAUGGGGCUUCGUCACCCGCUCCGUAGGCCCGGCCGGCGCCCGCCGGCGACCCCCCUCAAUCUUUUCAGGUUGACCUCGGAUCAGGUAGGGAUACCCGCUGAACUUAAGCAUAUCAAUAAGCGGAGGA